rnacentral:rRNA from 1 species
CUCCGGUUGAUCCUGCCGGACCCGACUGCUAUCGGAUUGAGAUUUAGCCAUGCGAGUCGAACGUCCCCCUGUUGCGGGGGGCGUGGCGUACGGCUCAGUAACACGUAGUCAACCUGCCCUGGAGACACAGACAACCCCGGGAAACUGGGAUUAAUCCGUGAUAGGUCAUCUCAUCUGGAAGGAGAGAUGGCUUAAAGGGGUACGCGGGCUUCUUCUGCGUAUUCGCUCCAGGAUGGGACUGCGACCGAUCAGGCUGUUGGCGGGGUAAUGGCCCACCAAACCUGUAACCGGUACGGGCCUUGAGAGAGGUGGCCCGGAGAUGGACACUGAGAGAAGGGUCCAGGUCCUACGGGGCGCAGCAGGCGCGAAACCUUCGCAAUGCGCGAAAGCGUGACGAGGUUAAUCCGAGUGGCCCCCGCUGAGGGGGUCUUUUGUCAGCUGUAAAUAGGCAGGCGAAUAAGGGGAGGGCAAGCCUGGUGUCAGCCGCCGCGGUAAUACCAGCUCCUCGAGUGGUCGGGGCGAUUAUUGGGCCUAAAGCAUCCGUAGCCGGUUCCGUAGGUCCUCUGUUAAAUCCAACCGCUUAACGGUUGACCUGCAGAGGAUACCGCGGGACUAGGAGGCGGGAGAGGCGGACGGUACUCCGCGUGUAGGGGUAAAAUCCUUUGAUCCGCGGAAGACCACCAGUGGCGAAGGCGGUCCGCCAGAACGCGCUCGACGGUGAGGGAUGAAAGCUGGGGGAGCGAACCGGAUUAGAUACCCGGGUAGUCCCAGCCGUAAACGAUGCUAGCUAGAUGAUUCAUUCGCAAGUCGCGAAUGAAGUGUCGCAGGGAAGCCGUUAAGCUAGCCGCCUGGGGAGUACGGUCGCAAGACUGAAACUUAAAGGGAUUGGCGGGG